GAUGAACGCUGGCGGCGUGCCUAACACAUGCAAGUCGAGCGGAAGGACGGUGCUUUUGCUCGGAUUUCGAGGGGGACGGGUGUGUAAAUCCCAGGAGUAUGCCUGGCAUUGGGGGGUGAGAUCCGGAAACGAGCGCUGAUAAAGCAUACGAUCAGAUGGUGAAACGGGGGGGUCUUUGGACAUUACCGGAUUUGAUGAGACUAGGUGGGAUUAGCUAGUUGGUUGGGUAAAGGCCUACCAAGGCGACGAUGCGUAACUGGGCUGAGAGGAUGAUCAGUCACACUGGAACUGAGACACGGUCCAGACUCCUACGGGAGGCAGCAGUGGGGAAUAUUGGACAAUGGGCGAAAGCCUGACCCAGCCAUGCCGCGUGUGUGAAGAAGGUCUUCGGAUUGUAAAGCACUUUUAGUUGGGAGGAAGGGCAGUAAGUUAAUACCUUGCUGUUUUGACGUUACCAACAGAAUAAGCACCGGCUAACUUCGUG
rnacentral:rRNA from 1 species